GAUGAACGCUGGCGGCGUGCCUAACACAUGCAAGUCGAGCGGUAAGGCCCUUCGGGGUACACGAGCGGCGGACGGCUGAGUAACACGUGGGAACGUGCCCCAAAGUGAGGGAUAAGCUCCAGAAAUGGAGUCUAAUACCGCAUAUGGUCUUCGGAUUAAAGUAUUUAUACGCUUUGGGAGCGGCCUGCGUACGAUUAGAUUGUCGGUGAGGUAAAGGCUCACCAAGUCGACGAUCGUUAACUGGUCUGAGAGGAUGAUCAGUCAGACUGGAACUGAGACACGGUCCAGACUCCUACGGGAGGCAGCAGUGAGGAAUCUUCCACAAUGGGGGCAACCCUGAUGGAGCAACGCCGCGUGCAGGAUGAAGGCCUUCGGGUUGUAAACUGCUUUUAUUAGCGAAGAAUAUGACGGUAACUAAUGAAUAAGGGUCGGCUAACUACGUGCCAGCAGCCGCAGUAA
rnacentral:rRNA from 1 species